GUAGACGCUACGGACUUAAAAAAUCCGUCGACUUUUAAAAUCGUGAGGGUUCAAGUCCCUCUAUCCCCA
rnacentral:tRNA from 1 species